GCAGCUCGCAGGAGUGCGGACUGUCGUCUGAUUGUUUGAGGGUGCCAGAUGUAAAUAAUCGGUGGAACAGCUGUAAAAGAGCCUUUCCACUGGGUAGAAUCAGGUUGUGCCGCGGAACCCGCUCCUCAGCGCUUAACUUCGGAGACGCGGGCAACGCAGGUAUUAUCGUCUAGGGCCGGCUGCAACCGGUC
rnacentral:sRNA from 1 species